UUCAGCCUACGGGGGGCAGCAGUAGGGAAUCUUCCACAAUGGGCGAAAGCCUGAUGGAGCAACGCCGCGUGGGUGAAGAAGUAUUUCGGUAUGUAAAGCUCUAUCAGCAGGGAAGAGAAUGACGGUACCUGACUAAGAAGCCCCGGCUAACUACGUGCCAGCAGCCGCGGUAAUACGUAGGGGGCAAGCGUUAUCCGGAUUUACUGGGUGUAAAGGGAGCGUAGACGGCUGGCCAAGUCUGAAGUGAAAGCCCGGGGCUUAACCCCGGAACGGCUUUGGAAACUGGCCGGCUGGAGUGCUGGAGG
rnacentral:rRNA from 1 species